UACGUAGGGUGCGAGCGUUGUCCGGAAUUAUUGGGCGUAAAGAGCUCGUAGGCGGUGUGUCGCGUCGGCCGUGAAAACCUGCAGCUUAACUGUGGGCUUGCGGUCGAUACGGGCAUCACUGGAGUUCGGCAGGGGAGACUGGAAUUCCUGGUGUAGCGGUGAAAUGCGCAGAUAUCAGGAGGAACACCGGUGGCGAAGGCGGCUCACUGGUCCGGUACUGACGCUGAGGUGCGAAAGCGUGGGGAGCAAACAGG
rnacentral:rRNA from 1 species